AUCGAUUAGUAUUAAGUUGAAUAUUGUUUUAAUAAAUUACGACGUUUAUAUAUUAUUAUAUUUUAUAUAAUCAACAACAAGAACAAAAAAAAAAAAAAUCUGUUUAUCUGCAGUUUGUUUUUUUACAACUUUUCCCUGAUAUUUGUGUAUUUUAUAUACCAAGCAGUUAUUGUAAUCGAUAAAACACUAAUAACUCUAUACUAUAUAUAUGGGAAAUAAAGUAAUUAGACUAAAAUAAACAGUAUACCGUAGGUAUAGCUACGAUACAGGUAACAUAUUGCAAUAUUAAAUCGUGUAGCUAGUAAUAUAUAUUUUGUUUCAUUUAUGUCUUAUACAGUUUCAACCGCCGGAAAUAGAAAUAUUGAGAUACAUAAUACUAUUUGAAUUGAAUAAUUAACAAACCAAACAUACUAUGUAUGAGAAUUCGAAAUUUGUGGGAUUCGUUCAAUCUGACAUAAUGAGUUAAACUGCAGUUUUGCAAUAAGCGGAUUUUUCUGGAAUAUUAGAAAAAUUGGUGGUCGGUCAGUUAAACCUCAUGGAAUUGUGUCUACGUUAUGAAAGAUUCAAAAUUAGGUGGGGAUGUCUAAUUACUUUUUUGGAAAUUAUAAUACUUUCUAUAAUGCACUAAAUAUAAAUCAACCAAACCGAAAAAUCAUUGAUGGUGACUGAUGAGUAUUGGGGUACGUCAUAGCUAUAGGUACUUAUGCAAUGGAUUUCAUUAUUAUUUUUAAUUUUUUGUGUAUGUAUAUUUACAAAUCGAUUGAGUAUAAUAGUAAAAUAUCCAUACAUACUCAAAAAUAGAUAUUUUAACGGAGGCAAAAAAUAUCGAAAUUGUUUUUCAUUCAAAGUAAUAAAUUCAUUAUUUGUUUGUUUUAUGACGAUUGAAUUCUGAGAAUGGUACUGCGAUCAUAAAUAAAUAUUAGUCAGUAAGUAUAACCCACUCAAUAAUUAUAUAGAUGGAAAAUUGUACCCAUAAACUAUGCAGUCAUUAAGAUUUUUUUUUAAUAUUAAUAAAUGUAAUAUAUUUAUUCA